AGAGUUUCAUCAUGGCUCAGAACGACGACGCGGCGGCAUGCUUACACAUGCAAGUCGAACGCUUCACCGGGGCUUCGGCACCGGUGGGGAGUGGCGCACGGGUGAGUAGCGCGUGGGAACCUGCCCAGUAGUGGGGGAUAACCGAGGGAAACUUCGGCUAAUACCGCAUGCGCCCGGUGAGUGAUCAUCGGGGAAAGAUUUAUCGCUAUUGGAGGGGCCCGCGUCGGAUUAGCUAGUUGGUGGGGUAACGGCCUACCAAGGCAGUGAUCCGUAGCUGGUCUGAGAGGAUGAUCAGCCACACUGGGACUGAGACACGGCCCAGACUCCUACGGGAGGCAGCAGUGGGGAAUAUUGGACAAUGGGCGCAAGCCUGAUCCAGCAAUGCCGCGUGAGUGAGGAAGGCCUUAGGGUUGUAAAGCUCUUUCGCACGCGACGAUGAUGACGGUAGCGUGAGAAGAAGCCCCGGCUAACUUCGUGCCAGCAGCCGCGGUAAUACGAAGGGGGCGAGCGUUGUUCGGAUUUACUGGGCGUAAAGGGCGCGCAGGCGGCUAUUUUUGUCAGGCGUGAAAGCCCCGGGCUUAACCUGGGAACCGCGCUUGAAACGGGAUGGCUAGAGAUCGGGAGAGGAGAGUGGAAUUCCCAGUGUAGAGGUGAAAUUCGUAGAUAUUGGGAAGAACACCGGUGGCGAAGGCGGCUCUCUGGACCGAUACUGACGCUGAGGCGCGAAAGCGUGGGGAGCAAACAGGAUUAGAUACCCCAGUAGUCC
rnacentral:rRNA from 1 species